AAAAAGAUUAAGGGCUCCACCAAGCUGAGGCAAAUACCGGUAGUUAUCAUGUCAUCUGAGAACAUUUUGGCUCGAAUUGAUAGGUGUUUGGAAGAAGGUGCCGAGGACUUUCUGAUGAAGCCGGUGCAGCUCUCGGAUGUGGAGAGGCUGAGGGAUUUCAUGUUGAGAGGAGGG